AUUUUCUCCAUAAUCUUCACUCUCGUCCUCCUAAUCUUUUGACACUCCAGACUUGACCCAAUCCACCUCCACCAAAACAGUAAAGGUUGUAAUUAAGGGUCGGGUUUAGGGCGUGUGUUUACAGGAACAGGACUAUUGAGAACAUAAAGCAGUUGGGUUUAAAGGGUUGGGUUCGGAAUAGGAGAGAUGACUCCGUGGAGGCUCUUUUUUCUGGGAACCCUGACUCGGUCAAAAAGAUGUAACAGAGGUGUCGCUGGGGUGCUUCGUAUCUAGGUUUUUGCAGCUGGGCUCGGGGACGCGCGCGCCUGAAAUCACGCGGGUGCCUCGAUUGGGCUCUCGCACUUGCGCGAGAGGUUGGGCACUUAGGCGAGCACGGAGGCGGAUGGAGCUAGGGGUUACAGAGGAGGCGUAGAUGGGUUCUUGCGACUGGGCAUGGAGUCGCAGAUGGGUUCUUGGCUUCAGAUCUUCUCUUGGACGCUGCCAUGGAUGGUAAUAUGUGAUGUUUAAAUUUAUGGGUUUUUGUUCUUUGGCUACUAGUUUUUGUUUGUUGAUUUUUGAGGUAUAAAUUCUGAGUUUUAUGGAUGAGGUUGGGGAUGUGUAGAUCUGUCGAUUUUUGCUUUGGUUGUGGUCGAGGAUGUGCAGAUCUGAAUAUAUUUUUUUGGCUUUGGUUCUACACAUUAAAGUUGUAUUUUGGUGAGAUUUGUAGAUUUUUAUUACUCACUGUAUGUCUAGAUUUGGGAGUUUUUGAAUGGAAAUAUGUAUAUUUAAGUUUAUGAAUAGAUUUUUGGUUCGUGUUCAA